rnacentral:rRNA from 1 species
GAUGAACGCUGGCGGCGUGCCUAAUACAUGCAAGUCGAGCGAACAGACGAGGAGCUUGCUCCUCUGACGUUAGCGGCGGACGGGUGAGUAACACGUGGAUAACCUACCUAUAAGACUGGGAUAACUUCGGGAAACCGGAGCUAAUACCGGAUAAUAUAUUGAACCGCAUGGUUCAAUAGUGAAAGACGGUUUUGCUGUCACUUAUCGAUGGAUCCGCGCCGCAUUAGCUAGUUGGUAAGGUAACGGCUUACCAAGGCGACGAUGCGUAGCCGACCUGAGAGGGUGAUCGGCCACACUGGAACUGAGACACGGUCCAGACUCCUACGGGAGGCAGCAGUAGGGAAUCUUCCGCAAUGGGCGAAAGCUUGACGGAGCAACGCCGCGUGAGUGAUGAAGGUCUUCGGAUCGUAAAACUCUGUUAUUAGGGAAGAACAAAUGUGUAAGUAACUAUGCACGUCUUGACGGUACCUAAUCAGAAAGCCACGGCUAACUACGUG